CCCUCUGGUGGUGCCUAGGCACAGGCACAGGCUGUGGCCAGUGCUUCCUCAAGGCGGCUCUGGCCCCUGUUUUCUCGUGGGUCCUUCAGACCGUUGGACGGAUGGAAGGAGCAAGGCAGGAAGGGAACAAAGACAGAAGGAAGAUAGGAAGAAAAGGGUUACAUUCCUGACAAAGGAUCUCUUCAAGGUUUGGAAGGAAACUACACUGCAGUGCCCAAGAUACUCAUCUGGAGAUGCUGUGAAUGGAAGCAUCGUGAUAACGUGUAAUGUUCUGUGUGGGAAAAACCUCAGUAGUUUAUGGGAGGUUAAAACAUGAUGAGGUGAAUGGCACAACAGAGCAAGUUUCAGCAUGGAUUUGGGCAAGCAGUAAUUAAAGACCUGUGUUAUGAUGACAUCCACAUUUCCCUUGUGACUUGGAAAUGUUCCUUUUCCUCUGUCAAUGCCAGCUUUGAUGCCAUAAUUGUUGAAUAUAGAAGGGGAGACGCGCUCCUUGUGCUUCUUUUGCAUGAGGUCUCUGACUCUGCAAAAGUUCCACCAGUUCUGACCCUGGAACUUUAGGAUAUGAUCCACCACUCAAGGCCCUCCAGCUGCAUUGAUCUUCUCUUACAAGACUCAGAUGGAGUAUCAAGUUUGAUGAUGUAAGCAUUGGUCUUGCUACUUGAUUCCUUCAAGGAGAUAAGAUUCCCAGCACCAGGAUGCCACCUUAGAGAAGAUCCAGUAAUCCACCAGGGUCUGCUGGCUGCUGACCAUUCACUGUUCCACUUGGCUCUUGGAAGGAAAAAUGCUGCUUUCCACGGAGACUUCAUGUCCCUUUGAUCUCCAUUUCAUCUUCCAGAUGGGACUGCAGGCAUUUGCUGAUUGUCUAGGCUUCUUCCCUGAUCUGUCUCACCCCAACCUGGAUGUUCCUUGCUCACUGGAAGGAAGGGAUGGGCUGAUGAAGAUAUCUGGGUGGCUAUCCAUAACUGUGUGUUGUCUCCAAAGCUUCCACCUUCUGGCAACUGACCACUUACUGUAUCGCCCUACUGAGGUACUUUGGAAAGUAAAAAGAAGGAGUGACAUCAGCAGCAUGCCAGAGUGAAUUGUUCCCUUUGUCUCUCCCCUCUAAUUUACAACUUAAAGGACAUGUGUUAACCAACAGAGGAUUCUCUACACAGCACCACAGAACACCUGAGAGAUCCACACAGCCACGCAUCUGAAGGUGAGUGGCCUGGAUCCCCAGGAAGCAGUGGAACUGGGUGAGCAGACCCUUCCCCCACCCCAGCAGCAGCAUUGCAGGUUGUGGGUCCUCACACAGCAGCUGGCAUGGCUGUGAGAGAAGGUGGAGGCAGCCCAGCCUGCAUGCAAACACUUUCAGAGUGGUAGCCCAGACUUUGGGAGCACCCACCGUGCUGUGGCUGCCCCACUCAUGGGGGCACUUCCCACCAGGUGGUGGUGGCUCAGCCCCUGUGAAAGAGCCCUGCCCACCAAGUGCAGCAGCUCAGCUGAACCCCCCAUGAGUGCAGAGCUGGCCCACAUGAAAGAAAGUGCCCUUCCCACCUAGCACAGAAGCUUGGCCAGUCCCCUACUGAGCACAGUGGCCCUGCCAACACAAGAGUGAACCAUGGGCGGAGCACAGAGGCCCAGCCUGCAUGUGCAUGCCCAACCCAGUAAGCAGCUGGGGCCAGCCUGCACAAAAGCAGAACAGCCCUACCAGCACAACUUCCAGCAGAUGGAGCAAGAUCAGAAAACACAGCUUCUGCCCACCCCCACAGUGGUGG